GAUGAACGCUGGCGGUGUGCCUAAUACAUGCAAGUCGAGCGAACAGACGAGGAGCUUACUCCUCUGACGUUAGCGGCGGACGGGUGAGUAACACGUGGAUAACCUAACUAUAAGACUGGGAUAACUUCGGGAAACCGUAGCUAAUACCGGAUAACAUGUUGAACCGCAUUGUUCAACAGUGAAAGACGGUCUUGCUGUCACUAAUAGCUGGAUCCGCGUCGCAUUACCUAGUUGGUAAGGUAACGGCUUACCAAGGCAAGGAUGCGUAGCCGACCUGAGGGGGUGAUCGGACAGACGGGAAGAGAGACACGGCACCGACUCCGGCGGGAGGCAGCAGUAGGGAAUCUUCCGCAAGGGGCGAAAGGCUGAUGGAGCAACGCCGGGUGAAGGAUGAAGCAGUUCGGCCGGGAGAACGCUGUAAGUCGGAGAGAACAAAUGUGUAAGUAACUGUGAACGUCUUGACGGUACCGGGUCAAAAAGCCACGGCUAACUACGUG
rnacentral:rRNA from 1 species